rnacentral:pre_miRNA from 1 species
UAGCUUUGUUCUAAGUCAAACCUAUCCAACUUUGACCAAGUUUAUAGAAAAAAUAUAUUAACAUCUACAAUAUAGGUAAAUGCACAGCCAAUAUAUAUUGCAUGGUGUAUCCAUUGAAAGUAGUUUGAUGUUGUAGACAUUAGUGAAUUUUUCAUAAACUUGGUCAAAGCUAGAGAAGUUUGACUUUGGACCAACCUAG